GACCUCCCCAGAGAAGGUGGUGUGAGGCCAACGCUGAAGAUGCUGCUGCUCCUGCUGCUUCUGGGGCCCAGCUCUGGGCUUGGUGCUCAUGUCUCUCAACAUCCAAGCAGGGCCAUCUGUGAGAGUGGGACCUCUGUGAAGAUCGAGUGUCGCUUUGUGGACUUCCAGGCCAUGACUGUGUUUUGGUACCGUCAGUUCCCCAAACAGAGCUUCCAGCUGAUGGCACUCUCUAAUGUGGGAUCUGAGGGCACCUAUGAACAAGGUUUUGACAAGGAAAAGUUUCCCAUCAGUCACCCCAAUGCCUCCUUUGCAUCUCUGAAGGUGACCAGCGCACAUUCUACAGACAGCAGCUUCUACUUCUGUGCUGGCUCUGGGCUUGGUGCUCAUGUCUCUCAACAUCCAAGCAGGGCCAUCUGUAAGAGUGGGACCUCUGUGAAGAUCGAGUGUCGCUUUGUGGACUUCCAGGCCUCAACUGUGUUAUGGUACUGA